rnacentral:tRNA from 4 species
CUCUCUAUAGGCUAAUUGGAUAAACCGCUACUCUACGAAAGUAGAAUUCUCAGUUCGAGUCUGGGUAGAGAGAC